AACUUAUUGAUAAAAUUUCUAACUCAUGCUGUGUUGGGGAAUAGAUGACGGAGAGAAGGGACUCCAGGCAAUCAGCACACACCAGGGAAAACAUACACAAUGAAUGUCUUUGCACCCUUUGUCACCUCCUGUUUACUUUACAUUUGCCAUUGGUUUUAAUGAAGAGGAGCUGAGUUCCAAGAAAUCUCUGCAGGGUUCUUCAACUUGUCUCUGCUCUGAGCUUCGGCAUCCAACACAUCUGCUUGAACCCGUCAGCUGUGAUAAGUAUACAUUUUGAGUCUUAAGAGUCUGCAGCUUGAGAACUGCUGCUGCUGCUAAGUCGCUUCAGUUGGUUCCGACUCUGUGCAACCCCAUAGAUGGCAGCCCAUUAGGCUCCUCUGUCCCUGGGAUUCUCCAGGCAAGAACACUGGAGUGGGUUGCCAUUUCUUUCUCCAAUGCAUGAAAGUAAAAAGUGAAAGUGAACUCACUCAGUCGUGUCUGACUCUUCACGACCCCGUGGACUGCAGCCUACCAGGCUCCUCAGCCCAUGGAUUUUCCAGGUAAAUUUGUUCCUGGGAUGAGUGUAUGUAAAGUCUUAAGAAAAGCCUUAAACAUCUGCUUGAGACAGUGGUUUCAAAGACAACAGAUAUUGGCGAUCCAAGUUUUCACAGAUACACAGUAUCAAGUAUCCACAACUAUGGUAUCAUAGUGGUGAUACAGUAUACUGCUGCUGCUGCUAAGUCGCUUCAGUCGUGUCCAGCUCUGUGCGACCCCGUCCCUGGGAUUCUCCAGGCAAGAACACUGGAGUGGUUGCCAUUUCCUUCUCCAAUACAUAAAAGUGAAAAGUGAAAGUGAAGUCACUCAGUCGUGCCCAACCCUUAGCGACCCCAUGGACUGCAGCCUACCAGGCUCCUCUGUCCAUGGGAUUUUCCAGGCAAGAGUCUUGGAAUGCGGUGCCAUUGCCUUCUCUGGUACAGUGUACUACAGUAUCAUAUAAGAUAGUUUCACUACCCUGAACAAUCCUCUGUACUUCAUCUCUGUACUUCAUCAUUUAAUACAUUUUGGUCCCCAAAUACCUGGCAACCACUGACUUUUUAAAUCAUCUCUACAGUUUUGCCUUUUCCAGAAUGUCAUACAGUUUUCCAUCAUGUAUCCUAUUAAGACUGGCUUCUUUCACUUAUCAAUAUGCAUUUGUAAUUUACCCAUAUCUUUUCAUGUUUGGUACCUCAUUUAUUUUUUGUGGAAUAACAUCUCUUGUUGAGAUAUACCACAUUGUUUACCUAUACCUAUUAAUGGAGAUCUCGGUUGCUUCUGAUUUUUAACAAUUAUGAAUAAAGCUGCUAUAAGC
ensembl:lncRNA